rnacentral:lncRNA from 1 species
UUUCAAAGUUAAAAUUUUAAAUUUAGAAAUAUAAAUUUAAAAAUUUAAAAAUUCAAAUUCAAAUAUAAUAAGUGGAUAAUAUCAUUAUUUUUUAUUUACAAAACCCAUUAUCUUUCUUAUUCCAUCUUACCUAACCAAACACUAUUUUUUUUAUUCCAGGAAUAACCCAAUUUUCAUCCAAACGCAAAAUUGAUCUAAUCCUCGCUUAUACCUUAAUUUAUAACUAUCCCUGGAAUAGCCACUUUUUUUUUAUUCCCGAACCAAACGAUACCUUAAGAAUUAGGAACUAAAAAGAGCUCUUCGUCCCACGGGGCAAGUGGGGCCCACCAAAAAAAUGGCGGGGCUCACUUGCCCAUCUUGCACACGGUCCACGAGGUGGGCUUCACCUCGUGGACCACCGGCUUAGAGGGAGAGAGAGCUCUCUCUUUGAUUUUACAAAAUAGCAACAAUAAUAAACAAUGAAAUUAUAAUAUCAUAAAAAAGCAUUAAACUAAUAAUUGAACUAAACUGAAAAUGUCAUUAUUAUUUCAUCAUCUAACAAAAAAAAUGGUAAAAACCGUAAAAUUUUAAUCAUUACCUAAGAAAAAUUUUAUCUUCCUCUAUUAUUGCCUAUAUGAAAAUAGGUUGGAAGUGACAUAAAUAAACGACGACGUGCCAGCGAGAACGACGAUGAUGAUGUGCCGAUAAAGGUGACGAAUUUUAUGUAUAUCGCAACAGAGAAAUAUGUGGAAGACAGAGAAAGAUGUGGAAGAAAUAGAGGUGUGGAAGGUAAAAGUGAAUAUGAGAUAGAGUAUUACAGUAAUGAAGAAUAGAAUUACAAUAUCAAUAAAAAAAUACA